CUGUAGACUUUCUGAAAGGAUUUCAGAGAUUUCCAGGAUGCUCUGGUCCAUACUUUGAGAACCACUGCUCUGGAGUAUGUAAAAGAAGACUGGGGUUUAAAUCUUUUUCUGUGUGACUUUGAACAAAUCAUUAACUGAUCUGGGCCUCAGUUUUCUCAUCUGUUAAAUAAGAGGCUUGCAAUAAAUGAUCUAUGAGUUCUCUUCCAGUUCCAGAUGUCUAAACUUAUGAAUGACAAAAGAUUUCUAUGCUGAGGUAAAGCUCCAGGAUGUGGCUUACCCAUACCUACUGUAAGGAACCAGGAACUUCAUAUUCUAAUGGUAGCUGCAAAGGAACUCCUGGUGUGGAAACCAAACAGGCCCCAGAGAUGGCAGCAAAUAGAGGCAUCGGUUGAGUAAUGAGUUCCUAAAUCAACAUUUCUAGAGAUUAGAUAAAGAGUUCCUUAACCAAACAGGACCCAAAGUCAAGAAGCAAGAAGAAGCAGAGCCAUGGCAUGGAGCAGCAAAUCUAUUCCUCAUUUCUGUAUUGAGCGAAAUAAAGGAUGCCCUGAAAUUGAUGCUUCAUUAGCCUGAAGACUAAUGAACUGAGGACCCUUCUACUUUUUUUCAAUAAAAACAUAAUCAUGAGCUAUAUUUUGAUGUUCUGGGGAAACCCUAGGUAGGCUGGCAACAAUGAGCCAAAUUCUGACAUUCUCGGGAGAAAACUGGAUGAGAGUAUGGGCCAAAGAGUGAUUUUUGAAAAGCAUCCUCCCCUCCACCCCUAACACUGAAUUCUACAAACUGCAAAGCUGUUUCCAGAACUUAGCUUCUGGGCAAUGGGUUGCAUCCAUUUACUUCCAUAUUGUAUGUUUUAAGAAACAAUAAGUCUUUUUUGCUCCCAAGUCUUUCUCACCAAUCUUGGAAUCAUUCUCCUUUUAUGCCUAGCCUAAAAUCUGCCUCUCUAUUAAAGUCAUUCCUCUAAAGGUAAGCACUUCGUCUCCCUCCUAUGAAAAUGAAUAUAUUUUUAUAUUUAUGUGUGUAUACAUAUAUUGAAACACCUAUUUAUAACGACUAAUAAACUCUGAAUCAUCAAAUCUGAUGGUUUCUUUCCAGCCCUUGUCCUUCAUAAUAUUUAACCCACUGCCCAUAUUAUCCUACUAUAUACUCUUUCUUCCCUUAACCUCACAAAAACCACCCACACAAAUGUGGGGAUAAAAGAGGAAUGGAGGAAUCUCAUCUUUCUUUAGCACAUGGCUGAGAAAAGGAGAUUAGUUAAGAUUUGGGUUACAAAAUUUAGAACUAGAAAGAAUCUUGGAAACCAUUCUGGUCUAAUUUCUACAUUUUAUAUGUAAGAAAACUGGGUACCUAAGAAAUUAAGUUGUAGAGAACUCCCAGGAAGCUAGAAACUUCAGUAACUGGGAUGUUCCCCUACUAAGAUUAAUCAAGAGUGCAUUUAAGCUUGAAAUCAUGGGAAAACAAAGUUCUGGCACAAUUACCAGGGUGUUGUGAACUUUACAUAAGACUGAGUCUCUAGAAACUAACACUUCAGAGAGUUAGAUUAUUAGAAAACAGAAACCAGGAUUGGUUACAGAACAAUACCUUUCAUAGUAACAUAUGUUUUUAAGAUAUAUAUAAGCAAUAUGACUUCUCUCUGUUGGAUUAUCAGCACCCCGUCUUCUUAUUUUCAACCGCCACUAGCCCCUUUGUGUUUUGCAGGCUCCCAAUAUGGGGUCCUGAUCCUGUCAGGCACUGAUCAUGUCAAGCAGCCCACAAGGGAAGCAGAGACUUGACAGGGAAUUGGUACCGAAGAUGAUUUUCUAGUGGCUGGUACCCCCAGGGUAGCCGUAGGACAAAAGACCUACAUCAAGAUGAAGAAGACACAUAGAUCCUGGACAGAUGUAACCGCCCUGUCCAAAUUAUCCAGAGCAUGAAGAUAAAAGAAGACUUGAAGAGGCCGACUGCACCAUAAGGGGAAUCCAGAGGCAUGGCUCCUGCAACUGGCCCUAGUGCUGGCACAACUUAAAUUAAGAGAAGAAAACCUAAAAUCUUCUGGGGCAUUAUACAAAGCCCACCUUGGGUGAGAGUAGUUGGAUGGGGAGAAUACAUUCCUGAAAUUGUAUUGUAUGGUAAUGGAUCUCAAUAUUUAGUUAAGGAAUUUGAUGUUAAUAAGCAUGGAGGGGAGUCAAAUAGUUCAAUAAUUAAAUUAAAAUUUACUGGACUUACUAAAGAUCCUUCCCUGUGUUACUACAAAUGCUAGCUUUGACAGCUGUAGUCCAAUAGAACCUAUUCAUUUUUGUUAUAAAUGUGAUCCUUUUCAUAGGCUUUUGACUAAUAGGAAUGUUACAACCCUCCAAUUGUAUAAAAAAGGCUUUAAAUCUGUGGUGCCACAAAGCAUGCAACAUUUCCUCAAUCUAACAACCACUAUUAUGGAUAUAUUGGGACAGAACUAUGAAACAACUAAUUGGGGAAUCCAUAUAUCACCCUGUCCAGAUGGGGACUUAUGGGACUCUGAAAAAGCUGGCUCUCCUUUUCUGGACUGGAGAACAGAGCAGAGACUUUGUUACACAAUUUGGAAUCAGACUUAUGUAUCUUAGAAAUAUGACUUUUAUAAUCACUAUAUGCAUGGGCGUUACCCCAAACUGAGUUGAUAGGGAAAUAAUCAAAAGGGGAAUGAGCAGGUUUGGAAAAUCACAUUACCAUUCACUCCUUUAGAAGGAUAUUUUCAAUGGAAAAAAGGAAUGUAUUAUAUAAUGCUACUGUGCAGGCAUGUUUGGGGAAUGAUUAUGCUUUCAGUGGGGAGAAAUUGGCCAAGUGACAAUUACAAAGGUAGAAGGAGUUUAUAAUAUUACUUGCAGGGAAUGCAAAGUUUCUGAAUGCAUAGGAAAUAAGGUUAAUACCAGUAUUGUGUUUGUUAUCAUGAAGCCUUCAUUUAAUAUGUUACCUAUACAGACUGAUAACUGAUAUCACACUCGAGUAGACUAUUCCUUGGAGAACAUUGAACAUUUACUCAGCAAAAGUAGAAAAGAAAAGAUGUAUUUCAUUUGUUGUUUUUUGGUAUAAUUGCAUUAAUUUCUAUUUUAGCUUCCAGUGCCUCAAUUGCUAUGUCUGUAACCACUAUUCAAAAUCAAGUGGUUCAAGCUAAUUAUUUGCAUUAAUUUACUCUGAACAUCUCUAAAAGAUUUGCUAUGUGCAAUAAAAUCAAAAAGGAGUUUUAAAUGAAGCUAUAAAUCAAUUAAGGGAGGAUGUCCUUAAAAUAAGACAAGAAGUGGAAAUAUUGAGGAUUAGAGAAAAAUUGGUAUGUGA